ACACUGCGCACGUGUGGCGCAACGCACGAUACCCCGCCCCUGACGUUCCGUCUCGUCCUUUACACGCCCCUUUCUCGAUCUUUUUUUGUGGGUGUGAUUUAUGGUGGUUGAAGACAUGCAGCGAAAUAUGUCAGGCUCAAGACAUGAGGUAGGCCAGGCCCAGGCAACAGGAAGAUCCAGGCGGAGGUACAAGGCCAAAAACAUGGCAUUCCAGGAGAUGGUCGAGGUGGUCACCAUCUUCACUAAUGAGGACUAUGAUGGGAAGCACGGGCCUUACCUGCACCCCAAUAAGGUGAAGGCGGACAUUACAGAUAAAGUGAUUAGAAGGCUCCGGCAGAAAUUUGGAGAACGCAGGUCCAAAGAACAAAUAAGAAAGAGGUGGUCAGACCUGAAAAAAAGAGAGCCAGAGCAACUUCAGGCAAUAAAAAGAUUGAUUAGAGCAAAAAGUAAGUUCAUUUUAUGUGCCCUAAUUUUAGGUGUUUGUUCUUUGUGCCAUGUGCUUUUCCCUUCAGGUUGAAAUGUAUUUGUGUGGGCACAAUAAUUUGUCGUAUGAGUUGUCGUUCAUUUGUUAAUUUAACUAAUAUUAAACGACGAUAUUCCCGAUAAAUUGCAACAUGCCUAGUUCACAUGGACAAAUUGUAGUGCAAUCACUGUAUCAGCCACAAAUAAAAACAUAUUUGUCUGAUUUAUGUUAUAACGAACGACGACUCAUAUGACCAGUUCCUGUGUUCCCAAAUAUUCAAUUUUACACAAAUUUUUGGGGUUUAAUGUGACAUCAAUUUGUAAACAUGUAUGUAGAUGUUUACCUAAUUAGAUCUUAAUAAUUUAUAUCUAAAAUAUGCACAAAAAGGACAGUGUACUCAGCAGAGGAUUAUACACAUAGGGAUUUAUUUGGUUUAAAAUUGUGAUUUUAAGUUUCAUCCCUCUAAAAUUUUACCAUUCUGUUUUCCCUUUCUUCAAUCUCGUAGGGCGAAAGGAAGCAUCAAGGCAGGUCGCAAGUUCGCAAGCCACACCCCCGAGGGAUCUUGAUGAAGGGGAAGCUGCCACCACAUCUGGAGCAACUCGUGCUGGCUCUUCAAUUGACAGGGACACUGCCCAGCUCCUUCAUUGCAGAAAUUUGGUCCUGCCGGGAAAAGAAUGAAGACCUACAGAUAGCAGCCCGGAAAAUACUUAAAAAUGCAAAAAGUGUUGAGGUCCAGUUGAAAAAUCUACUGGAUGUUUUGGGUAGGGUGUGAA